rnacentral:rRNA from 1 species
UACAGAGGUCCCAAGCGUUGUUCGGAUUCACUGGGCGUAAAGGGUGCGUAGGUGGCCAGGUAAGUUUGGUGUGAAAGCUCGGAGCUUAACUCCGAAAAGUCAUUGAAUACUAUCUGGCUGGAGGGUCGGAGGGGAGACUGGAAUUCUCGGUGUAGCAGUGAAAUGCGUAGAUAUCGAGAGGAACACCAGUGGCGAAGGCGAGUCUCUGGGCCGAUACUGACGCUGAGGAGCGAAAGCGUGGGGAGCAAACAGG